rnacentral:misc_RNA from 1 species
CUCAAAACAUUGUUUCCCACAUGGUUGGAGCUUCACAUCCGUGCCAGUGCAGUUCAUGAACUAGCAAUCAGGAAACAAUUGUUCUCAGGCGUGAAAAUUUUGAGAAGCAUACAGUUAAUUCAUAACAUGCGACAAUUCAGAUGUAAUCAAUCACACCGUUUUGUGUUGGAAGGGUAAUUUCAUUCAAUAGACUUUCCAGUGAACCAAAAUAAAGGAACAUUUUCAAGGCGCAUGAUAUUAGG